rnacentral:rRNA from 1 species
GACGAACGCUGGCGGCGUGCCUAAUACAUGCAAGUCGAGCGGACCAAAGGGAGCUUGCUCCUGGAGGUCAGCGGCGAACGGGUGAGUAACACGUGGGCAACCUGCCUGUAAGACUGGGAUAACAUCGAGAAAUCGGUGCUAAUACCGGAUAAUAAAAAGAACUGCAUGGUUCUUUUUUGAAAGAUGGUUUCGGCUAUCACUUACAGAUGGGCCCGCGGCGCAUUAGCUAGUUGGUGAGGUAACGGCUCACCAAGGCAACGAUGCGUAGCCGACCCGAGAGGGUGAUCGGCCACACUGGGACUGAGACACGGCCCAGACUCCUACGGGAGGCAGCAGUAGGGAAUCUUCCGCAAUGGACGAAAGUCUGACGGAGCAACGCCGCGUGAGUGAUGAAGGUUUUCGGAUCGUAAAACUCUGUUGUUAGGGAAGAACAAGUGCCGUUCGAAAGGGCGGCACCUUGACGGUACCUAACGAGAAAGCCACGGCUAACUACGUGCCAGCAGCCGCGGUAA